ACAGAGGUCUUUAUGCAAUGCCGUUGCUACCUAAACAGUGCACUUUUGUCGAUGACAUUGGUUCCUAGAAAACGUCACAACAAAUCUUAAAAUGAGCAAAGAAGACGCAGAAAAAAAGGAGCUACCAUUAAUUUUAAAUGGUACUUUCUUUUUACCGGACGGGAAGUGCAAACUGUGUGUGAACAAAACUAUCAAAUUUGAUGAAAAGUCAACCGGCAACUUGCAUAAACAUCUGAAGAGGGUUCACCCGAACAGUUAUUCUUCGUAUGAAGCUUUGAAAGCGAAAAAUUCAAAAAUAGAAGUGAAAAUUUCCGGUGAUCUCAAAAAAAGAAACCAAUGUGACUUAUGUUUAUAUCUUUGUAUCUCAGAAAAAGAAACUGAUAAUAAAAAUUUCAAAUUUAAAAAAA